rnacentral:tRNA from 1 species
GUGGGUAUAGCUCAGUGGUAGAGCACAAGCUUAGCAUGCAUGAGGUCCUGGGUUCAAUCCCUAGUACCUCCA